GCUUUCUGCAAACUUCCUGUGUCAUCGCAGAGAAUACUGAAAAGACUGACUCUCCAGGGGUCUCAUCAUGUCGCACAGGCUGGUCUUGAACUCCUGGACUCAAGCGAUCCUCCCUCCUUGGCCUUGCAAAAUGCUAGGACUACAGGCAUGAACCACUGCACCCAGUCCCUUCCUGGAUUAACUAUCUCACUGAGGGCAAAAAAAAAACUCCUUUGUUUUCUCCUAAUGCCCGUCAUCAGGCUCCUGUGUAUACUCCAAAUACUUUUGCUUCCUUCCCUUGAAAUCUCUGCUACGUAGUUGAUUUCCCUUUGCUUGAAAACUCCUGUCCUCCUUCCAGGUCCCAACCUUGAUGGCUUCUUUGCCAUCCCAAGCCUGAUGAGACCCUCCAGUGUCCUCAGGGCUGGGGCUGCGGCACCUUUCCCAGUGGCUUGUGAUUUCAUGUUUAAUUAUCUAUUUUCUUCACACUCUGUAAGUUUACUAAGGCAGUUCCUUGGCUCACUGUUGUAUUCUCACUGCCUGUCAGAAUGCCUGGCACACAGGAAAAUCCUGCUUCUUCCACUUCUCCCUAGAUGAGGAAUUUGGUACUGGAGGCUGGGUGGGGAGCAGGAAAGCUAUAUGCAUCACUCAGAUUCCACAAUUUCCAACAUAUUUUUAUUACCAAAUCAGUAAUCAGUGCUAAUUGUAAAUAAACAAUAGAUAUGUACAUUACAUAUAUAUGAUAGUCACAUGUAGAUUUUAAAUAAUGCAAUCAUGAUUGCAUAGUUGCGGUUUUUAUGUCAUGCCUAAAAGGACUCUUAGCUACCAACAGUACAAAACAUUCUCUUUUGUUUUCUUCCCAGACAAGGCCGUUAAGGUUUUACAACUCGCUGGUAAGCCAAGAUGUCUGUCUUCCCUUGUUCUUAUGUGAUGUUUCCUGCAAUGACCAAGCCAAACACAGUCCUCCAGCUUUGUCAUAAACACAUGCAAUGACUUGGAAAAAUCAGGCGCAUUCUCCUGUCAGGAUUGCUCCUAAUUAUUUUUGGUUUGGAACAUGGAAAAAUGUUUUUGGUGGAAAUUUGAGAGGAAAAAGUCACACAAAUAGGUUUUUAAACAACCUGAAAACUUCAUGUCUCUCUAUCAGAAAUCAGGCAGAUGAAUGUGAGUUAAAUCAAGAUAAAUUUUGAAUUUGUAAGCUUAAUUUUUCAAUAAUUUAUUCUAGAGAUUAUUAAGAAAAAAGGCUUCAUUAAUGUUUUUAUUUUUACUUUCCUCCCUUGAGUUCUGAAAUUCCUUGCAUUCUCAAUAGCUGGAAAUAGUAAUUUUCACCACUGUCAUCAUAAUUAAACAUAAUGUGAUAAUGGUUAAGAUUAUGAAUCACUGUCUUAAUGAAUGGUUAUUAUAUUGCUCAUUAUUAUGGCGGUUGCUAUGAUUAUUAUUUUGGGAUUAUAGACCAUCCAGAAAUGGCAAGUUCUUUCCUAAGAUAAUUACUAUAAAUAAUGACAAGGAUGCCAAUAAUAAUAUAACAACAGAUUUCUUACUUUUUGGGCACAUAAAAUUAACUUAGAGGUGAGACUCCCUAAAAGCUCACCCAGUAUUUUUUGCAUAGAGGGCAAGGUAGGAAAUGAUGAGUAAGAGUGUGAUGUUUCUCACUACCUAAAACUUCUGUAUACCAAAAGAGUAGAAAGUUUUAUAAAUGUAACUGAAUUUAUCAAAUGUCUACUUAUGAACUAUUCUCUGUGAUAAGUGAUGUGGGUCAGAACUGUUAGAUUUUUAAUUUCUGGUAUUAUAGUGAUAUGAGUAAAAUACAAAAACAAAUAAACAAAUAAAAACGACCAACCAAAACCUGAAAAAGA
rnacentral:lncRNA from 1 species